ACUCCUACGGGAGGCAGCAGUGGGGAAUAUUGCACAAUGGGCGCAAGCCUGAUGCAGCCAUGCCGCGUGUAUGAAGAAGGCCUUCGGGUUGUAAAGUACUUUCAGCAGUGAGGAAGGUUCAUGCGUUAAUAGCGUAUGGAUUUGACGUUAGCUGCAGAAGAAGCACCGGCUAACUCCGUGCCAGCAGCCGCGGUAAUACGGAGGGUGCGAGCGUUAAUCGGAAUUACUGGGCGUAAAGCGCAUGCAGGUGGUUUGUUAAGUCAGAUGUGAAAGCCCGGGGCUCAACCUCGGAAUAGCAUUUGAAACUGGCAGACUAGAGUACUGUAGAGGGGGGUAGAAUUUCAGGUGUAGCGGUGAAAUGCGUAGAGAUCUGAAGGAAUACCAGUGGCGAAGGCGGCCCCCUGGACAAAGACUGACGCUCAGAUGCGAAAGCGUGGGGAGCAAACAGGAUUAGAUACCCUGGUAGGAUAGCG
rnacentral:rRNA from 1 species